UGCUAUUCAGCCAAGGGGACCACAGUC
rnacentral:piRNA from 1 species